rnacentral:rRNA from 1 species
GACGAACGCUGGCGGCGUGCUUAACACAUGCAAGUCGAACGGGGUCCAUGAGAGCUUGCUCUCGGAAGACCUAGUGGCGAACGGGUGAGUAACACGUGAGAAACCUGCCUCGGAGUGGGGAAUAACUCGAGGAAACUCGAGCUAAUACCGCAUACCUUCAUUUGACCGCAUGGUCAGUUGAAGAAAGAUUUAUCGCUCUGAGAGGGUCUCGCGGCCUAUCAGCUUGUUGGUGGGGUAACGGCCUACCAAGGCAACGACGGGUAGCUGGAUUGAGAGAUCGACCAGCCACACUGGAACUGAGACACGGUCCAGACUCCUACGGGAGGCAGCAGUGGGGAAUCUUGCGCAAUGGGCGAAAGCCUGACGCAGCAACGCCGCGUGCGGGAUGAAGGCCUUCGUGGUUGUAAACCGCUUUCAGUAGGGACGAAAAUGACGGUACCUGCAGAAGAAGCUCCGGCUAACUACGUGCCAGCAGCCGCGGUAAGUCACGAGAGUA